rnacentral:misc_RNA from 1 species
GCAAACUUGGUCAUUUAGAGGAAGUAAAAGUCGUAACAAGGUCUCCGUAGGUGAACCUGCGGAGGGAUCAUUACUGAGUGAGGGCUCACGCCCGACCUCCAACCCUUUGUGAACCAAACUUGUUGCUUCGGGGGCGACCCUGCCGACGACUUCGUCGCCGGGCGCCCCCGGAGGUCUUCUAAACACUGCAUCUUUGCGUCGGAGUUUAAACAAAUUAAACAAAACUUUCAACAACGGAUCUCUUGGUUCUGGCAUCGAUGAAGAACGCAGC